CUGGCAGUCAUGGAAACUGAAGUCCUCCUUUUGUAUCCACAGGACAGACACAGUUGGUCCACUCCAGUGUGAACCUCUCCAUGCUGCCCCAUCAUUGACCUGGAGGGUUUCUCUCUCUUAGAAAGAUAGGAUGUUUGUUCUCCAUAGCAGCUCAGUUUGGAUCCUCU
rnacentral:sRNA from 1 species